rnacentral:rRNA from 1 species
GUGGGGAAUAUUGGACAAUGGGCGAAAGCCUGAUCCAGCCAUGCCGCGUGUGUGAAGAAGGUCUUCGGAUUGUAAAGCACUUUAAGUUGGGAGGAAGGGUAGUAACCUAAUACGUUGCUACUUUGACGUUACCGACAGAAUAAGCACCGGCUAACUUCGUGCCAGCAGCCGCGGUAAUACGAAGGGUGCAAGCGUUAAUCGGAAUUACUGGGCGUAAAGCGCGCGUAGGUGGUUCAGUAAGUUGGAAGUGAAAUCCCCGGGCUCAACCUGGGAACUGCUUUCAAAACUGCUGAGCUAGAGUACGGUAGAGGGUGGUGGAAUUUCCUGUGUAGCGGUGAAAUGCGUAGAUAUAGGAAGGAACACCAGUGGCGAAGGCGACCACCUGGACUGAUACUUACACUGAGGUGCGAAAGCGUGGGGAGCAAACAGGAUUAGAAACCCCGGUAGUCC